AUGGAUAGUCAGGUUGACCGACUAUAGUCGGACCUGAUCUUUUGUUGGUUAGAUGGACUGAGUAUGGUCAUGUUAAUGGUUAGACCUAAUCAGAACUUUCAGUGGAGGCCCUAGCCUACUAAAAAAAAUCUGAGAUAAAAUUAAUUACUAGAAGUUGUUUAGAGAAAUAAUUGAUUAAGAACCUACCCAUAGAUGCACAUGGAUUGGCCGGCCAUAGUCGGGAUCGUGUGCUGUUUAUGUGGAUUCUAGUAUCCACUA
rnacentral:lncRNA from 1 species